GACGGAGGAUGCAAGCGUUAUCCGGAAUUAUUGGGCGUAAAGCGUCCGUAGGCGGUUUCAAAAGUCUGUUGUUAAAGCCCACAGCUCAACUGUGGAUCGGCAAUGGAAACUGUGAGACUAGAGAGUGGUAGGGGUAGAGGGAAUUCCUAGUGUAGCGGUGAAAUGCGUAGAUAUUAGGAAGAACACCAGUGGCGAAGGCGACUACCUGGCCUGUUCUUGACGCUGAGGCGCGAAAGCUAGGGGAGCAAACGGG
rnacentral:rRNA from 1 species